rnacentral:misc_RNA from 1 species
CUAAGUAAUAGGCUAGAUCUAUUAUAUAACCAUUUAGAGAGAUAUCCGUAUACAUUCUUGAUAUUACAUCGCCGUUCUUUGAUUGCUUGUACAACACAAAAUUUGAACAAUCAAAUAACAAAAUAAAAAUUAUAGAUAAAACCCAUUUACAUUUCCUAUGCAUUGUCUCACCUCCCCAUUGGAAUUGCUCAUCAAACAGUAGUUGGUGCAAGAUUAUUUCUAUUAAGUUGAAUUUGUUGCAGCUGCAAAUUUUUCAGUGCAGGCCCACCAGAUCUCCUCUUCCACAGAGUGUCUAUUUCUGCUCCGUCUGCUGGUUUUUGCACUUUCUUGAUCACAGGCAAAGGAGGAUCCAUAUCUUCUAUGUUAAUAGAAACAGAAUUCUCUUUACUAUUAUCAAUCUUGGGUCCUCUUGCACCAUUAAAGAUCUUCUCUCCUCUUCUUCUACAAGAAGUUGUAGUAUUUGGUGUCGACGUCAUAGUGAGGCCAAUGAAACUAUUCUUGGCAGAGAAGAUCCUCCUUAGCUUAGAGUACUUGACGACAGGAGUACUGUCGUUUCUGGUGGUGAUGCUAAACUUGUUAGAAGUAGGGAAGCCGACUAUCUUAUUGUUGUGUCUCUUGACCUGACCCAUGCAACCGAUCUUCGGCGAUAAAGGGUCAGCGGAGGAAGACAUAGAUCGAUCCUCCAAUUUGGGUAGCACCACAUCUUUGAUGGAUGGUCUUGAACAAAGCAUGGGCAAGAAUGUGGCCUUGUGAUGGAGGUGCAGGUUUUGGUGGUGAUUGUAUCCAUUACCCAUCUUUCCUCUUGACCUUCCAAGUCCUUAACUUCUCUUUUAAUAGAGAUAUAAGCAGAUGGAUAGCAAACAAGAAGAGCAGGUGAUGUUUUUGUAAUCUUCUUGGUGCUAUGUUUUCCACA